rnacentral:rRNA from 1 species
GUGCCAGCAGCCGCGGUAAUACGAAGGGGGCGAGCGUUGUUCGGAAUUACUGGGCGUAAAGGGCGCGUAGGCGGCGACCCAAGUCAGAUGUGAAAGUCCUGGGCUUAACCUGGGGACUGCAUUUGAUACUGGGUUGCUUGAAUUCGGGAGAGGAUAGCGGAAUUCCCAGUGUAGAGGUGAAAUUCGUAGAUAUUGGGAAGAACACCGGUGGCGAAGGCGGCUAUCUGGACCGACAUUGACGCUGAGGCGCGAAAGCGUGGGGAGCAAACAGGAUUAGAUACCCUGGUAGUCC